rnacentral:lncRNA from 1 species
AUGCUCAAAAUUCUCCAAGCCAGGCUUCAGCAAUUCGUGAACCGUGAACUCCCUGAUGUUCAAGCUGGUUUUAGAAAAGGCAGAGGAACCAGAGAUCAAACUGCCAACAUCCGCUGGAUCAUGGAAAAAGCAAGAGAGUUCCAGAAAAACAUCUAUUUCUGCUUUAUUGACUAUGCCAAAGCCUUUGACUGUGUGAAUCACAAUAAACUGUGGAAAAUUCUGAAAGAGAUGGGAAUACCAGACCACCUGACCUGUCUCUUGAGAAAUCUGUAUGCAGGUCAGGAAGCAACAGUUAGAACUGGACAUGGCACAACAGACUGGUUCCAAAUAGGAAAAGGAGUACAUCAAGGCUGUAUAUUGUCACCCUGCUUAUUGAACUUCUAUGCAGAGUACACCAUGAGAAACGCUGGACUGGAAGAAAUACAAGCUGGAAUCAAGAUUGCUGGGAGAAAUAUCAAUCACCUCAGAUAUGCAGAUGACACCACCCUUAUGGCAGAAAGUGAAGAGGAGCUAAAAAGCCUCUUGAUGAAAGUGAAAGAGGAGAGUGAAAAAGUUGGCUUAAAGCUCAACAUUCAGAAAACGAAGAUCAUGGCAUCCGGUCCCAUCACUUCAUGGCAAAUAGAUGGGGAAACAGUGGAAACACUGUCAGACUUUAUUUUGGGGGGCUCCAAAAUCACUGCAGGUGGUGACUGCAGCCAUGAAAUUAAAAGACGCUUACUCCUUGGAAGAAAAGUUAUGACCAACCUAGAUAGCAUAUUGAAAAGCAGAGACAUUACUUUGCCAACUAAGGUCUGUCUAGUCAAGGCUCUGGUUUUACCCGUGGUCAUGUAUGGAUGUGAGAGUUGGACUCUGAAGAAGGCUGAGCGCCGAAGAGUUGAUGCUUUUCAACUGUGGUGUUGGAGAAGACUCUUGAGAGUCCCUUGGACUGCGAGGAGAUCCAACCAGUCCAUUCUGAAGGAGAUCAGCCCUGGGAUUUCUUUGGAAGGAAUGAUGCUAAAGCUGAAACUCCAGUACUUUGGCCACCUCAUGCGAAGAGUUGACUCAUUGGAAAAGACUCUGAUGCUGGAAGGGAUUGGGGGCAGGAGGAGAAGGGGACGACAGAGAAUGAGAUGGCUGGAUGGGAUCACGGACUCGAUGGAAGUGAGUCUGAGUGAACUCCGGGAGUUGGCGAUGGACAAGGAGGCCUGGUGUGCUGCGAUUCAUGGGGUCACAAAGAGUCGGACACGACUGAGCGACUGA